rnacentral:lncRNA from 1 species
AGAAAUGUCCCUCCUCAGAAACAGGCUCCAGGCCCUGCCUGCCCUGUGCCUCUGCGUGCUGGUCCUGGCCUGCAUUGGGGCAUGCCAGCCAGAGGCCCAGGAAGGAACCCUGAGCCCCCCACCAAAGCUAAAGAUGAGUCGCUGGAGCCUGGUGAGGGGCAGGAUGAAGGAGCUGCUGGAGACAGUGGUGAACAGGACCAGAGACGGGUGGCAAUGGUUCUGGUGAGGGUGUGCUGGGCUGGGUGGUGGGAGGGGACUCCUGGGUCUGAGGGAGGAGGGGCUGGGGCCUGGACCCCUGAGUCUCAGGGAGGAGGAAAGGGUGGGAGUGGGGCUGUGACCCCUAGGUCU